UUUGAAUGUUCAGGCUUCUAAGUGACAGAAAAGCAGCUUGUUUGAAAAAUGAUUUUUUUCUGGCUUCUAACCAGUGUUAAUUCACUUGGAAACCAAGGCAGUUUUCUCCCCUUUACUGAACUCUGGAUUUCUUUUCCAAUCAAGGCCCCUGACACCAAAGAAGGAAAUGGAGCGUAAAUCAGGCUACAGAGUGGCUGCCAUUCAUUCAGGAAGCCUUACUGUUUUCCGUCCUUUGUUCCCCUCUAGACCCUUGCCAACCCCCAGGCCGCGAGGCCCUCUGAAGCCCUGAGCCUGGAGCGGUAGGAGACGGGGGAACUGAAACGCCGCGGAACCAGAGGCUAGGGAGCGGCGCGAUGGAGGGAGGAGGAGCGACGGACCGGCAGGCCUAGCUCCGGGGCUGCGGCGGCUGAGGCGCGGGGAUGGAGCCCCUGCGGGUGCUGGAGCUGUACAGCGGCGUGGGCGGCAUGCACCACGCGCUGAGAGAAAGCUGUAUACCUGCACAAGUGGUGGCUGCCAUUGAUGUCAACACUGUCGCUAAUGAAGUAUACAAGUAUAAUUUUCCUCACACACAGUUACUUGCCAAGACAAUUGAAUUACAUACUGUAGAGUAAAUGAUAGCUACUGAAGACAGAGUGAUCCGUGAUUAAUAUCAUUAAUGCCUCUGAAGAAGAGAAUGACUCCAGUGGAACAAAAACUCUUAAUAAAAAUAG
rnacentral:sRNA from 1 species